GGCAUGCGGGGAGCACAACUGGAGAAGACCGCGGGGCCACUCGGAGCUGACUAGCCAGGUGGGCUCUUCACGGGGGUCCUAAACCUUCUCUGAGGCCGCCUUCCUUCCUUCCCUAUCGGGGCUCCGUUCCACUGCGCAUCUUCUGGGCCUUGGCCCGGUCCUGCUAUUGCGCCGGUUGUGCCUGGUCCUGUGGCCAGAAGGCCUUGGGAGGCAAGGUUCCUCUCACCUGUCUACCCCAGCCCUGCUGCCUCUCAUGCCAAAAGCCAAGGGCUUCAGAAUGCCUUCCCUGCUACCUCCAUCUCGGCUCCAGGCCCUGGGUUUCUUCGGCCAUCAGGGCAUUGCGACCCUGGCAAUGGGGGCAGUGGGCUGGCCCCCAUGCACUGCCAGGUUAGGGCUCAGCUCAGGCUGCCCUGUGAGCUGGGGCCUGUAGCUCUGACUCUGCCCAGAGUCGUGUAGUGGGUCAUUUCCCCAGGGCUCCUUCUGGACUUGGAAUCUACUCCCUCUUUCCAUUCAGAGCCUCACCCAUGCAUGACUCCCAGGCCUCCCUGUUGAUGGCUACCUCUGUCCAGUUCUCCCAGGGUUACCAUCUGAAGAGCAACUGCUGGACUCCAGCCGCACCAUCAUGGGGAGCCCCGAGGGGCGCUUCCACUUUGCCAUUGACCGCGGGGGCACCUUUACAGAUGUCUUUGCCCAGUGCCCAGGAGGGCAUGUGCGGGUCCUGAAACUGCUCUCUGAGGACCCUGCCAACUAUGCAGACGCACCAACGGAGGGCAUCCGCCGCAUCCUGGAGGAGGUGGGCCCUGGGAGAAGAGGUGGGGUGGGGAGGGACCCCACCACAAGAAGCCUGACUCUGACCCUGUGGUUCUCAGGAGGGGGGCGUGCUAUUGCCCCGGGACCGGCCACUGGACACCAGUCGUAUUGCCAGCAUCCGCAUGGGUACCACAGUGGCCACCAAUGCACUAUUAGAACGACGGGGGGAACGGGUGGCCCUGCUGGUGACACGUGGCUUCCGAGACCUGCUGCACAUUGGCACCCAGGCCCGCGUGGACCUCUUUGAUCUGGUGAGCACCCAGCUGGGUGCUAUGUGGUAUAGCUUCCUUGAAUCUGUCUCAAUAAGUUGCUGUUGCCUUGUGGGGAGUACAAUUGGUGGGAGGAUCAGUGGAGGGCCAAGUCCAGCAGCUGAUAGGCAGAGAGGUAGUUUUGGGUUCUGCCAGAAGGGUACUCUGCCUCAGAGUAGGGACAUAGUGCUCUUUUCCUGUUGCUUCUGUGACCUGUCCUGGACCCUGACAGCCCAAGCAAGUCCUGUUCAGGUUGAAGGUUCAGAGCUGCCCUUUGGGGAUGGGCCAGUUGACCAUAUUCCACUCAGACGCCUGAAGGCAGUGAGCCACCCCAAGGUGAGCCUUGCUGGGCCAGGCUGACUCUCUGCCUCUUGGGCCUGUUUACUGACUUGUUGGGACACAUCCCCUGGCCUGCACCGCUUCACCCACGCUGGACCCACCAGAACCCUCAGGCCUGGGUCUCCUCUGAGUCUCUGCCAACCCCCAGGCUGUG
rnacentral:lncRNA from 1 species